rnacentral:rRNA from 1 species
GAUGAACGCUGGCGGCGUGCUUAACACAUGCAAGUCGAACGAAGCACUUUAUUUGAUUUCCUUCGGGACUGAUUAUUUUGUGACUGAGUGGCGGACGGGUGAGUAACGCGUGGGUAACCUGCCUUGUACAGGGGGAUAACAGUUGGAAACGGCUGCUAAUACCGCAUAAGCGCACAGCAUCGCAUGAUGCAGUGUGAAAAACUCCGGUGGUAUAAGAUGGACCCGCGUUGGAUUAGCUAGUUGGUGAGGUAACGGCCCACCAAGGCGACGAUCCAUAGCCGACCUGAGAGGGUGACCGGCCACAUUGGGACUGAGACACGGACCAAACUCCUACGGGAGGCAGCAGUGGGGAAUAUUGCACAAUGGGCGAAAGCCUGAUGCAGCGACGCCGCGUGAGCGAAGAAGUAUUUCGGUAUGUAAAGCUCUAUCAGCAGGGAAGAUAAUGACGGUACCUGACUAAGAAGCACCGGCUAAAUACGUG